rnacentral:rRNA from 1 species
UACGGGGGGGGCAAGCGUUGUUCGGAAUUACUGGGCGUAAAGGGCCCGUAGGCGGCCAACUCAGUCGGAUGUGAAAUCCCCAGGCUCAACUUGGGAACUGCAUCCGAUACUGGAUGGCUUGAAUCCGGGAGAGGGAUGCAGAAUUCCAGGUGUAGCGGUGAAAUGCGUAGAUAUCUGGAGGAACACCGGUGGCGAAGGCGGCAUCCUGGACCGGCAUUGACGCUGAACGGCGAAAGCUAGGGGAGCAAACGGG